rnacentral:rRNA from 1 species
GACGUAGGGCGCGAGCGUUGUCCGGAUUUAUUGGGCGUAAAGAGCUCGUAGGCGGCUCAUUGCGUCAACCGUGAAAUCCUGCUGCUCAACGGCAGGUCUGCGGUUGAUACGGGUGGGCUGGAGUUCGGUAGGGGAGACUGGAAUUCCUGGUGUAGCGGUGAAAUGCGCAGAUAUCAGGAGGAACACCGGUGGCGAAGGCGGCCCUCUGGACGGUGACUGACGCUGAGGCGCGAAAGCCAGGGGAGCAAACGGG